rnacentral:rRNA from 1 species
CAAUAGCGUAUAUUAAAGUUGUUGCAGUUAAAAAGCUCGUAGUUGAAUUUCUGGCGGGCGCGCCGGUCUUCCAAGUGUUGUACUGGGCGCAGUCCGCCAUCCUUGUGGAGAGGGCUCGCAUUGAGUUGCGUGUCGGAUCUGCAUCAUUUACUGUGAAAAAAUUAGAGUGUUUAAAGCAGGCUGUCGCUUGAAUACAUUAUCAUGGAAUAAUAAGAUAGGACUUCGGUCUAUUUUGUUGGUUGCGAACCGAGGUAAUGAUUAAUAGGGAUAGUUGGGGGUAUUCAUAUUUAAUUGUCAGAGGUGAAAUUCUUGGAUUUAUGAAAGAUGAACAACUGCGAAAGCAUUUACCAAGGAUGUUUUCAUUAA